rnacentral:ribozyme from 1 species
GAAAAGUUGACAGUGAAUCGUUUUUUCUUUCUUUCUGUAUUUUUUCUUUUUUUCUGUCUUUUGAAAUUUAAUCACUGUAUGCUAUCUCUGUACAACAGAAAUAAAGUUUCGUUCGAUGGCACUAUUAAGGUAAAAAAAA